rnacentral:lncRNA from 1 species
AAACCAUGCCUUGCUUCCCUGGUGUGAUCUGUCACUCACAUGAGUUACAAGAUAUUCCUGUCUUUCCAGCAGGUGGAACUGGAUUUGGGACUUUUCAGAGAGAGGUACAAUGUGAAACAGCUCUUAUGGCCUGAUGAAACACUAAAAAGGAGAGCAACUAUUGUCAUCAAAACUUUGAACUCAUGGUGUAUCAGGGAGUUAUUUGUUUCCUUCAUCUAGAGGAAGGCUAAACAACGAGCAGUGAGUUUUUAUAAUGGUUACCUUAGACCUAAGGCUGAACCUCAGGUUGUUGUGGCAGUUGAUUAACAGAAAUGGAUAUCCAAAAUAUUAUGUUUCUGAUAAACUUUACUUCUUUUGUGAUAUGUUAUUAUUAGAUAAGAAAUUCUCUUUUUUUGAAGGUGAACCUUCAUUAUAAUUUUGACAGUAGUCUGUGCAUAUAUGUAUGUAUGUAUGUAUGUAGAUUUCUGAAGAUUUCAUCAAUUUUUUCUUGAAGAGAUUUCCAAGGGUAAUUUUCACAAUUUUGCUUGUCAAGCUACCUUGGAAUUUUGAGCCUCUACUUCAGUCACAUUAAUGAAGAUACUGAGAGGAUGUUGAUAUAAACCACUCCAUAAGGAAAGCCUUGCAGGCUGGUUUAGUGACUCUUCAUUCUGAACAAGGCACCUUUAUUUAUGUUGAGAAGUGUUUCUCAAAGAAGGUACCUGAAAACACCUUCUCCUGCUGCAGGAUCCCUUUGCAAGGAAUUCACUUUCUUUAAGCACCUAGAACAGGACUCCUUCAGCAGACAGCAGAUAGAUGUGCAUUGCAGUCCUUGGACUUUGUGACUAUCCCAAAACAGUACUGUCAGUUGGAUGAGUCUGUUCUGGGGUUCAUUUAGGAGGUCAACUGAUUAGCAAAUCUAAGUCAAUAUUACCUUUAUAAAAAUCAAGUCAAUAUAUUGCUUCUCUUUAUUCUUCAAACAUAUUGCUUAGUUGGUUUAAAGCUCAGAGUAGGAGCAUAUUUUAGCCCUUUAAAGAUCCUGUUACUAAAACCUUUGUCCUCCCUGAGGCUAAUCCAAUAGUGAGUCAAGGUUUGGAGAAAAUAAAGUUGUUUUAUUACUUUACUAGCAAAGGAGAAGCAUGGGGGCUCGUGCCCCAGAGACUGUGAUUCUCUCAGGGGAAACAGAGGGCUUUUAAGCUGAUGAUACAGUCUGUUUUCCAGCUGUGCCCUGUCAAGGGACAUAAUUCACUUGUAGCCUUUAGAGGUAGCCAUUUCUUAGAACUUCUGGCACUAGUCAUGAAUUCAUCCUGUGUUGCAUGAGUUUAAGGACAAAUAACUGGGCCUAGGACCGGAAGAAGGUUCAUCUUGCUUCCCUCAUGGUUAGGGAUAAGGAGAAAAGAAAGGAAGGAAAAAAAAACUGUGUCAGUUUUAAGAUAAGCCGCAGUGACAGAGCAGCAAGGAUUAUAUUCAGAGCAUGACGUGGACUCCUAUCACAAUCCAAAUAUUAGGAAGUAAAUCUAUAGGAAAAAACUGAGAAGCUAGUGAGACACAUAAAGGGGAGUAGAGCUUUGAUCCUAAUAUAAGACUUACCCCUUGAGGGCAAAGCAGACAAGUAUUCUGAAGGUCUGCCUAUUACCAAAAUUAUUGAAGGGAGAGGACCUGAGCAACACUAGUGUUUUCUUACAAACUUAUGAAUUAUGAUAUAUGGAUGUGCAAAGGCUUUUCAGAUGUCGGUGAUAGGCCUGUGCAUAGUGGUUGCCAUAGAAACCUGAUGGCAUUUUGGUGACCAUGACAACUUUUUAAUGGAGGCUGAUGUGAUUUGUUUUGAGAACAGGGACUCACUUCCAAGUGUUUGGUCCCAGUGAGGGUGUGGGUGCCCUGUCCAUGGUGGCUGAAAUUCCCUGGGGUGUUGGGAGAGGAAGAGAUCCCAGACUCUAAUCUUCUCAUUCCAACUUUGAGACUCAAUGCCCCCUAUCUCAAGAGGGAGGGUGAUGUGGGACCCUCCCGGUUCCAGCGAGUGUGGGGUCCUGCUCCAGGGUGUCCUGGACCUACUUUCCAUGUAAAGGCAUGCUGGAGGAUAAGACAGGGAACAGCGCUAGGUGACCCAGCUUCUCCUCCAUAAAAUGGGGGCAAGAAUAGUCAGCCACAGGAUUUCUAGGACCUGCAGGGUUAACACUUGCUCAAAUAAUAAUUAGUGAUACCUGUGUAUCUUUCUCUUGAAUGUUGAAACAUGCCAUUGGUUAGACAUUCUUCCUAGCAAUUUUAGAAUUUGGUAUGCAUUCUAAAAUGGUCACCAAUUUAUAUGUCUUAUAGUGAAAUUUAUUAAGAAGUUAGAAUUGGUCCUUGAAGGGUUAACUUGCCCAGAACAGCAAAAGAAAAAAAGCUACUUGUGUGUGAACUUCUGCAGAAGUUCCUCCCCUUACACACUGGGUAUAAAGUUCUGAAACUGCCUGAAUUGGGGUUCAGGGGGAUUAAUUUAUUACAGUGAGAGCUGUAGCCUCUGAACCUAGCUGCAGCUAAAUAAACUGUUUCCUGGGCUGGGGUGGUGGCUCAGCAGUAGAGCACUUGCCUAGCAUGUGCAAGGCGCUGGGUUUGAUCCUCCUCAGGACCACAUAAAAAUAAAUAAAUAAAUAAAAAUAUAUAAAAAUAAAUAAAUAAAGAUAUUGUGUCCAUCUACAACUAAAAAUAUUAUUAAAAAACAAGAACAAAAGUCAGAAUUAUAUCAAAUGUAAUUAAACAUGUAAAAAUGUCAGGAUAUGGUCUAUCUUAUGUGUAGAAGUUUUUAAAAAGUUGAUCUGAAUGUAGAAUAGUGAUCACUAGAGGGUUGGAAAGUGGGGAAACAGAUGGAUAAAAGGGAGGCUGGUAAUGAUCAUGUAUGCUGUAUGUAUGUAUGAAAUAUGGCAACCCUGUCAGCAUGUACAAUUAAUACAUGUUAAUAAAAUAAAAUAUUAAAAGAAUUCAAUAUUUUCAAAAAUAAUAAGUAUA